rnacentral:rRNA from 1 species
UACGAAGGGGGCGAGCGUUGUUCGGAAUUACUGGGCGUAAAGGGCGCGUAGGCGGCGAUCCUAGUCAGAUGUGAAAGUCCUGGGCUUAACCUGGGGACUGCAUUUGAUACUGGAUUGCUUGAAUGCAGGAGAGGAUAGCGGAAUUCCCAGUGUAGAGGUGAAAUUCGUAGAUAUUCGCAAGAACACCAGUGGCGAAGGCGGCUCACUGGCCCGGUACUGACGCUGAGGUGCGAAAGCGUGGGGAGCAAACAGG